rnacentral:lncRNA from 1 species
AUACACUAUCUAAUCUAGGGUGCUUGCUAGUGGAAUAGACUACGUUAAUAGGUUGUGAUAAUAUAUACACACCAUUGUUCAAAUGUCUACAAAAAAUAGUAACACCAUUCAUAAUGAUAUUACAAAUUUAUUUCUUUAUUGAAAUUUCAUAAUCAUUUUUGACCAGAAGGCCUACAAAAAUGACAUUUGAAAAGAAACUGAGACAGAAAUGACAAUCAUUAAGAACAAUGAUAUGGGACUCAAAUACAAGUUUCAAGAUUUCUAAUGCUAGAAUUGGAACUGAUCUUCCAUCUCCAACAUUCAGGAACCUCUCGCCUUACUAGAAUCUCCUACUGACCUGCAACCUUUGCAAUGAAUUGCAAAUAUGGUAAGGGCUACCGGUAUCCAAUACCCAAUCAAUUAUAUCACAAAUAGAAAAAUUGUAAGG